rnacentral:sRNA from 1 species
GCUCGGGGCAGCCGCCGCCAUGAUCCUGCUGGAGGUGAACAACCGCAUCAUCGAGGAGACGCUCGCGCUCAAGUUCGAGAACGCGGCCGCCGGAAACAAACCGGAAGCAGUAGAAGUAACAUUUGCAGAUUUCGAUGGGGUCCUCUAUCAUAUUUCAAAUCCUAAUGGAGACAAAACAAAAGUGAUGGUCAGUAUUUCUUUGAAAUUCUACAAGGAACUUCAGGCACAUGGUGCUGAUGAGUUAUUAAAGAGGGUGUACGGGAGUUUCUUGGUAAAUCCAGAAUCAGGAUACAAUGUCUCUUUGCUAUAUGACCUUGAAAAUCUUCCGGCAUCCAAGGAUUCCAUUGUGCAUCAAGCUGGCAUGUUGAAGCGAAAUUGUUUUGCCUCUGUCUUUGAAAAAUACUUCCAAUUCCAAGAAGAGGGCAAGGAAGGAGAGAACAGGGCAGUUAUCCAUUAUAGGGAUGAUGAGACCAUGUGAGUAUAGAAUUUGGUCCUGAAGCCUGGAUAUGGCUGCUACACCACCAUGGCACUUACUGAAAGAAAUAUGGCUUGGUCAAACUUUCAGCUGUAUUGCGUGAAAAUGUUUUUCUCAUAAAAUGUCUUAAGCCAGGAAGUAGAUGAUAGGGCAGAAAUCAGCCACUCCUCCUACUCUCCAGAUACUGAGAGCUGACAGAUGGUGGAAAGAGAAUCCAGUGCUUUCCUUUAAGGCACCACUGUUCUGAGUCAUGUUUAAGAGUAUAGCCUGGAUAGUCAGCAGGCAGGGUGACCAUAGGUCCAUGUUAUAUUUACAAGUCAAUAAAAUCUACUUCUGAUAAUUUC